rnacentral:rRNA from 1 species
UACGUAGGGUGCAAGCGUUGUCCGGAAUUAUUGGUCGUAAAGAGCUCGUAGGCGGUUUGUCGCGUCUGCUGUGAAAACCCGAGGCUCAACCUCGGGCCUGCAGUGGGUACGGGCAAACUAGAGUGCGGUAGGGGAGAAUGGAAUUCCUGGUGUAGCGGUGGAAUGCGCAGAUAUCAGGAGGAACACCGAUGGCGAAGGCAGUUCUCUGGGCCGUAACUGACGCUGAGGAGCGAAAGCGUGGGGAGCGAACAGG